rnacentral:rRNA from 1 species
UACAGGGGGGGCAAGCGUUGUUCGGAAUUACUGGGCGUAAAGCGUGCGCAGGCGGUUUUGUAAGCCAGAUGUGAAAUCCCCGGGCUUAACCUGGGAAUGGCAUUUGGGACUGCAAGGCUGGAGUGCGGCAGAGGAGACUGGAAUUCCUGGUGUAGCAGUGAAAUGCGUAGAUAUCAGGAGGAAUACCGAUGGCGAAGGCAGGUCUCUGGGCUGACACUGACGCUCAUGCACGAAAGCGUGGGGAGCAAACAGG